UGGGGAAUAUUGGACAAUGGGCGCAAGCCUGAUCCAGCCAUGCCGCGUGAGUGAUGAAGGCCCUAGGGUUGUAAAGCUCUUUCACCGGUGAAGAUAAUGACGGUAACCGGAGAAGAAGCCCCGGCUAACUUCGUGCCAGCAGCCGCGGUAAUACGAAGGGGGCUAGCGUUGUUCGGAUUUACUGGGCGUAAAGCGCACGUAGGCGGACUUUUAAGUCAGGGGGUGAAAUCCCGGGGGCUCAACCCCGGAACUGCCUUUGAUACUGGAAGUCUUGAGUAUGGUAGAGGGUGAGUGGAAUUCCGAGUGUAGAGGUGAAAUUCGUAGAUAUUCGGAGGAACACCAGUGGCGAAGGCGGCUCACUGGACCAUUACUGACGCUGAGGUGCGAAAGCGUGGGGGAGCAAACAGGAUUAGAUACCCUGGUAGUCCACGCCGUAAACGAUGAAUGUUAGCCGUUGGGGAGUUUACUCUUCGGUGGCGCAGCUAACGCAUUAAACAUUCCGCCUGGGGAGUAACGGUCGCAAGAUUAAAAACUC
rnacentral:rRNA from 1 species